GACCAGAGGUAUACUUUACAUAUCACAGACAUGCAGACAGACAGACUAUAAAGACCAGAGGUAUACUUUACAUAUCACAGACAUGCAGACAGACAGACUAUAAAGACCAGAGGUAUACUUUACAUAUCACAGACAUGCAGACAGACAGACUAUAAAGACCAGAGGUAUACUUUACAUAUCACAGACAUGCAGACAGACUAUAAAGACCAGAGGUAUACUUUACAUAUCACAGACAUGCAGACAGACUAUAAAGACCAGAGGUAUACUUUACAUAUCACAGACAUGCAGACAGACAGACUAUAAAGACCAGAGGUAUACUUUACAUAUCACAGACAUGCAGACAGACAGACUAUAAAGACCAGAGGUAUACUUUACAUAUCACAGACAUGCAGACAGACAGACUAUAAAGACCAGAGGUAUACUUUACAUAUCACAGACAUGCAGACAGACAGACUAUAAAGACCAGAGGUAUACUUUACAUAUCACAGACAUGCAGACAGACAGACUAUAAAGACCAGAGGUAUACUUUACAUAUCACAGACAUGCAGACAGACAGACUAUAAAGACCAGAGGUAUACUUUACAUAUCACAGACAUGCAGACAGACAGACUAUAAAGACCAGAGGUAUACUUUACAUAUCACAGACAUGCAGACAGACAGACUAUAAAGACCAGAGGUAUACUUUACAUAUCACAGACAUGCAGACAGACAGACUAUAAAGACCAGAGGUAUACUUUACAUAUCACAGACAUGCAGACAGACAGACUAUAAAGACCAGAGGUAUACUUUACAUAUCACAGACAUGCAGACAGACAGACUAUAAAGACCAGAGGUAUACUUUACAUAUCACAGACAUGCAGACAGACAGACUAUAAAGACCAGAGGUAUACUUUACAUAUCACAGACAUGCAGACAGACAGACUAUAAAGACCAGAGGUAUACUUUACAUAUCACAGACAUGCAGACAGACUAUAAAGACCAGAGGUAUACUUUACAUAUCACAGACAUGCAGACAGACUAUAAAGACCAGAGGUAUACUUUACAUAUCACAGACAUGCAGACAGACAGACUAUAAAGACCAGAGGUAUACUUUACAUAUCACAGACAUGCAGACAGACAGACUAUAAAGACCAGAGGUAUACUUUACAUAUCACAGACAUGCAGACAGACUAUAAAGACCAGAGGUAUACUUUACAUAUCAUAGACAUGCAGACAGACAGACUAUAAAGACCAGAGGUAUACUUUACAUAUCACAGACAUGCAGACAGACUAUAAAGACCAGAGGUAUACUUUACAUAUCACAGACAUGCAGACAGACAGACUAUAAAGACCAGAGGUAUACUUUACAUAUCAUAGACAUGCAGACAGACAGACUAUAAAGACCAGAGGUAUACUUUACAUAUCACAGACAUGCAGACAGACUAUAAAGACCAGAGGUAUACUUUACAUAUCACAGACAUGCAGACAGACAGACUAUAAAGACCAGAGGUAUACUUUACAUAUCAUAGACAUGCAGACAGACAGACAGACUAUAAAGACCAGAGGUAUACUUUACAUAUCACAGACAUGCAGACAGACUAUAAAGACCAGAGGUAUACUUUACAUAUCACAGACAUGCAGACAGACAGACUAUAAAGACCAGAGGUAUACUUUACAUAUCACAGACAUGCAGACAGACAGACUAUAAAGACCAGAGGUAUACUUUACAUAUCACAGACAUGC